UGAUGUGAAAAUUAAUUUAGUCAUAUCUUGUCCAAACUAAAAACAUUGAACCAUUUUAAAGGAAAGCAGCUUCCCAAUGUUGCCAUAUAUUGUUUUAAAAUAAUUGUAAAAAGUAGUUGCUCACGUAACAGCACUGGGCCUGCCAUUGACCUUGCACGAGAUGCCUCACACACAUCUGAGAGGCUGUUACUGUGGACGCAGUCCUCAGUGCUGCUGCUGCAUGGGACCCUGCUUCAGAGGAGCUCUGCAACAGCAAAAGUGCCAAGCAGAUCGAAGAGGACACAGCAGGACCAUGUGGGGCCCUCCUCCCAGUGGAAGCUUCCUGACACAGCCUGCACCCCAGUGGACUUCCCAAAGCAAGUUGAGUCUGACUUCGCACCCCUGACAUCAGAAUCAUCUGACUUCUGGGCACGCCACUGAAUACUGAUGUACCUGAAGGAACCCUGGGGUGUAUGAAGAAAGGGCUUCAGCAGAAACAGAGGCUGAAGCCUGCGUGCUGGGGGCCGAGAGGCCAGAGGAGAAUGUGAUGAGACAUAGAAUUGGUAGUGCAGGAAGUUGGAAGAUCAAGUACCGUGAUGUUGGUGCUGGCUGCUUGUGUUAAACUGCCUAGGUUUUAAUCUACGGUAAUUUUCGCCCACCUGUGGGGCUCCCCUGGUGCCCCAGCUGUGAUGGGGUAACUGAACUGCCACCAGGGCCAAGCUGUCAGUGGCCCAGGAUCUGGCGCUUGGAAGAGUUCUGAGAAGCACCCCUGGAUCAAAUGAGGAGAAACAGACUUCAUCCAUACCUAUUCCCAUUGUAUUUAAAGAAGUGAAUAUUCUCAGGGAUUUCCACAGUUUUAAAAGUGUCUUUCAAUUAAAACAUUUAAAAUAAAAUAAGGUUGAGGUAACAACCAAGUUACACUUCUUCCAGCAGCACCCAGACAGCGAGAGCCCUCAGAUUUUAGAAUUUUAGAAGAGAAGAUUGUGGCCAUGUCUGGAAUUCAAAGAAGAACCAGUGAGAAGAGCUAGAUAGAACUGAUGGAUGCUGAAACAUCUAAUAUUAAAAUAGAAGGGCAACCCUAAAUGAUAAUAUAAAAUUACAAUAUUAAUGGUAGAGUAAUUAAGGAAGCCAUUAAUGUUGAAUUAUGUAUGUGUAUGUUAAACCUAUAAAUUAAAAUAUCAUGAACAUUAUACCAUCUG
rnacentral:lncRNA from 1 species